rnacentral:rRNA from 1 species
AGUGAACGCUGGCGGUAGGCCUAACACAUGCAAGUCGAACGGCAGCACAGGAGAGCUCGCUCUCUGGGUGGCGAGUGGCGGACGGGUGAGGAAUACAUCGGAAUCUACUUUUUCGUGGGGGAUAACGUAGGGAAACUUACGCUAAUACCGCAUACGACCUACGGGUGAAAGCAGGGGAUCUUCGGACCUUGCGCGAUUGAAUGAGCCGAUGUCGGAUGAGCUAGUUGGCGGGGUAAAGGCCCACAAAGGCGACGAUCCGUAGCUGGUCUGAGAGGAUGAUCAGCCACACUGGAACUGAGACACGGUCCAGACUCCUACGGGAGGCAGCAGUGGGGAAUAUUGGACAAUGGGCGCAAGCCUGAUCCAGCCAUACCGCGUGGGUGAAGAAGGCCUUCGGGUUGUAAAGCCCUUUUGUUGGGAAAGAAAUCCAGCUGGUUAAUACCCGGUUGGGAUGACGGUACCCAAAGAAUAAGCACCGGCUAACUUCGUGCCAGCAGCCGCCGUAA